GACGAACGCUGGCGGCGUGCUUAACACAUGCAAGUCGAACGGAAAGGCCUGCUUUCCCUUGUGGAUUGCGGGUACUCGAGUGGCGAACGGGUGAGUAACACGUGAGUGAUCUGCCCCCAACUUGGGUAUAAGCCUGGGAAACUGGGUCUAAUUCCCGAUAGGACUGCAGGGUGGUGCCUGUGGUGGAAAACGAUUUUCUAGUGGUUGGGGAUGAGCUCGCGGCCUAUCAGCUUGUUGGUGGGGUAAUGGCCUACCAAGGCGGCGACGGGUAGCCGGCCUGAGAGGGUGGACGGCCACAUUAGGACUGAGAUACGGCCCAGACGCCUACGGGAGGCAGCAGUGCGGAAUAUUGCACAAUGGGCGGAAGCCUGAUGCAGCGACGCCGCGUGGGGGAUGACGGCCUUCGGGUUGUAAACUCCUUUCGACCGCGAGGAAGCCACCUGGUUGGAAGGGUGGUGACGGUAGUGGUAGAAGAAGCACCGGCUAACUACGU
rnacentral:rRNA from 1 species